AUUGUUGGCACCUUGAUAUAUCUUGAGCGGAAGGUAAGCAUUUAAAACCAUAGUGUAUUUCAUCAUUUGUAUCAACCAUCAUCCCCUGCCAAACUAUCAAAUAGCUCUUCUUCCUAUUUUUCUUCCCUUCUAAGCAAAGGAAGAUGAUAAAGUCAUCCACCUUCCAUCAUGGAGUUGCAGACCUGCCAUUUUGAACUCCAUCUGCCGUCAUCCCUUGGAGUUGCUGUAGAUCCAUCCUCCAUGGCCAAUUUGUGAAUUGGACCAUGAAGAUUUGAUUCGAUUAAUAUCAUCCAAUCCAAGCAACUUGAACUGCAAAUUAGGUUGCUCGAACUAAUUCACAGUCUGGGCUCAAAUGCAACGAAUUGGGGUAACCAAGAUGAGUUAACACUAAGAUUGGCUUGAUUGGCUUUGUGCCUGGCCAAAUUGUGCAAGCAUAUGAAUUGCUGCGAUGAUAAAUCAAGAAGACCCCACAGUUGAUUAUUCAUAUGGCGAGAUUGUUAAAUGGUGAUGCUUCCUUUGUGUGCAUUUUCAAGAAAAUGUGCAUGAGUUAGAUUGUGUCAAAAGCAUGAUGGGAAGGUAGCCAAGUCAAGACUGGAUUACAUAGGUGCGUGUUUACAGAGAGCCAUCACUCACAAUUCCUGAAACUCUGGGAAUUGUGCAGCAUGAUAUUUUGAACAACAGAAGGCAGAAGGCAGGUCUUGACUUAGGUGAGUACCAUGGGUUCACUUUCAUAUCCAGGAGUACCGUGGGAUUUCAUUGCAGUACUCUUGCUGGUGUGAUCAGUAAGAGCAGUGGGGAUGAGGAUAAAUGCCUUGAAGAUCAACUACGUGAUGCCAAGGCUGCUGCUGGGAAAGUUGAGAUAAUUGAAACAAUUGGAAAAAAA